AGUCCACGAGGGGGCGGGGGCCUGGCAGGAAAUGCGGCCGCUCUGUCUUGUCUGAACAGGAAACGGGCACCGUGCGCUUUCCCCCCUGCUGUCAUAGCAGCACCGAGGAAUCCUGGAGGGAAACUGGCCUUCUCGGGAACCACCACCCCGGUCUGGAGGCAGCGCUUGGCCUGAAGAGCUCCUCUUAUUGGUGGAGGUAGCUGUCCAUUAAUUCCCUCCCCGGCCAGCCCGCAAACCAGCCCAGAGGUGAGCAGCGACUUGGCCAAAGUCACACAGCAGUGUCCGGGCUCCAGCUAUGCCGAGAGCCUGGCCUUCAAGUCAACUGCACCCCCCUUCCUUCAGGCAGGUUGUGAUCUCACAGUCUAUGGAUUUGAGCCCCCCUGUCAGGCUCUGCUCUGACAGCAUGGAAACUGCUUGG